CUCGUAGGCGGUUAGGUAAGUCGAAUGUUAAAGACCCCGGCUCAACUGGGGGGAUGCGUUCGAUACUGCUUAACUAGAGGACGGGAGAGGUAAGUGGAAUUCCUGGUGUAGCGGUGAAAUGCAUAGAUAUCAGGAAGAACACCAGUGGCGAAGGCGGCUUACUGGACCGUUCCUGACGCUGAGGAGCGAAAGCCAGGGGAGCGAACG
rnacentral:rRNA from 1 species